UACGGGGGGUGCGAGCGUUGUCCGGAAUCACUGGGCGUAAAGCGCGUUCAGGCGGUUUGGCAAGUCGGGCAUGAAAUCUCUCGGCUCAACCGGGAGAGGUUGUCCGAUACUUCCAGACUUGAGGGCAGUAGAGGGUGGUGGAAUUCCGGGUGUAGUGGUGAAAUGCGUAGAUAUCCGGAGGAACACCAGUGGCGAAAGCGGCCACCUGGACUGCACCUGACGCUGACACGCGAAAGCUAGGGGAGCGAACGGG
rnacentral:rRNA from 1 species